UGCCCAGCAACUCCUAUCCCUAUCUCCUCGCGGUACUGGCCGGGGUACGAGUAACCUUAGGGAAGA
rnacentral:ribozyme from 1 species